GAAGCUCAACUUGAAUAGGUCAAGUAGAGAAGGGACGCACGGUGAAUGCCUAGGCACUGGAAGCCGAUGAAUUACGUGACAAACGACGAAAUGCUUCGGGGAGCGGUAAGUACGCAGAGUCCGGAGAUAUCCGAAUGGGGGAACCCGGCACCGUGAGGUGCUACCUUGAAGACGCAGUGAACUGAAACAUCUAAGGUACC
rnacentral:rRNA from 1 species